CCUAAGGGGAGGCGGGCGCCGCCCCGGGGAGCUCCCACUCCUCGCCGCAGGUGAGGCGCCCCGGGGGAUAGCAGACCCUUCAUCUCGCCCCCUGCCUGCCGGCGGACGUUUCCUCAGGGCGCCCGGCCUGGGGGCAGCGGCGAGAUGCGAAGGGCGAGCCCCCCCCGGCCGCCUGAUUGAGGUGAUGGCGGGCGGCUGCUCCCCAGUUAACCCUGCCCGGGGGCAGCUGGCGCCGCUUCGCUUAGCUGCGGGCAUCCAAGCUGGGUGCGAGGGGGGCACUCGCCGUCCCCCAGCCCUGUCCCGGGGCCGUCGAGGAUCGGAGAAGCUGGGAGGCUAUAGUUAAUAUCAGAACAGCAACCUGGAACCAGUCCCUCUGCCACUACUGGCAAUGGCCUAGCGGAUGCCCAUGAAAUGGCAAGUGCACAGUGAUUCUUCCUUGGGAAGAUCUCCUCAUUCUAGAGACACGAGAUAUUGGGACUUCCUGAACCAUGUGCAGUGACGGGAGUGUUUCACAAUGAUGAUGAUGCCUUUUUGACAUUGCAGCUAACAACCAUAAUUGAGAAAGUUAUUCCAACUGAAAUAUAAAAACCCUACUAGGAUAUUUGACUGCAGAGAAGUAAAGACUGAACACUCAACUUUAGAAGCACCCCAGAAGCAGACUCACUUCAUGAGGCCUUUAUCUGCACUACCAUGAAGAUCGGAACUUUAAAUAAAUAAAAGGCAGAAGUCCAUACUAGGAGAAAAGCUCUGUUCUCUGCAGCAUGAUAACCCCAUCAGGAAACAGAAAAAGAUCUGCCUGAUCUUAAGCUGUGGAAAUCCUUCAACACAAAAAACAAGUUAAGCCCAAAGCAAAAAAGAGAAUGUGUCUCAAAAUUUUUGAUGGCUCACUUGCAGUUUCAGAGAACCAAGAUGAUAAACAUAAAACUGAUAUCCAAGAGGAUAAACAUAAAACUGAUCUUCUGUCCAUAUAGUGACACCUUAGAGACGCCAAGAAAGAGCCAGUCAAAUUCACAUACAUUCAGAGCUUGCUGGGGGAAAGAAGGAGGACCGAGAAGGAGAGAAAGGAAAAAAGUUCAGAAUGAGAACUAUGCACAUAACAUGUAUAAAGAUUGUACAGCGUCGUGUCCGUGAACUUCCAGAGUUCGCAUUAAAAACUGACAGGACAUCAGAGUGCCAGAAGCUUCUCAUAUUGUGGCUCUGGAGGACUCACCAUUUGGGACUCCAGUAGGAUCCUUGAGGAAUUAUUGCUCCAGGAGUAAUAUUUUGUGCUGUGACCAUAGGUGGUAAGCGAUGCCUGCAGGAACAGAGGCACUCUGCAACUCCAUCUGUUUUUGCAAAUGUGGCUCAUUUCUUCAUGAAACGGGGCGUGUGCUGAAAAUGAGUGAUAACUAGGAUGGGAAAAGAAGUGGACUCAAAAAAUGGAAACAUAAAUGUACGAAGUUUGCAAAGCAUUUGGGGACAAGGAGUGCAGCGUGGGCAAGAGGCUCGGCGGAAAGUCCUGUUCUGAAUGGGGUUGUAUAAAGGCUGCCAAAGGAAGUGGAGGGCUACCAAAAGGUUCUGUUGUGAGUGCUAUUUCAUGGGAGACCUAGCUUGGGUUGGUGUUGAGUUAGGGUCAUAACAAUCCUGUCACUGGGAUGCCAGUAGCAACUCUAGAGAUCCCUGGAGAGUCCUGCAAGGCUUCGAGUGGUGCUAGAGUACACUGGGAGGCCCUUGGAGUCCUAGAAAUGUCACUAGAGCACACUGGAGGCCAACAUACUCUAGUGUCCCCUGUAUGCCUUCCAGGGCCUCACAGUGAUUUCUACCACUUCCAAAUGCCUCCUAACCCCUCCCAGUUUGUUCUAGAAUGUGCUCGAGAUGUCCCAGGGACCUCAGGGCACUCAAGGAAGCACUAGAGACCUCUCCAUGCACCCGAGUCUUCCUGGGCCUCUCAGCGUAAUCUAAUGUCCCGGGGAGACCUUACAGAGCUCUUUGUUGAGCUCUUGCACUCUCUUGAAACUUUCCAGGGCAUUCUAGAGCCUUCCAUGGUCCCCAGUGCCUUCUAGUAUCCCCAGCAGGCUUUCCAGAACCCCCACCACAUUCUAGAGAGCACUAGAGGCCUCCCAGUGCACCCCAGAGUCAUCCAGGGCCUUCCAGUGGAGUCCAGCACACUCUAAAUGACUCGCAGUGCCCCCGUGUGUGCUCUAAGUGCCUUCUGGAGAUACCACAGGGCUCUCCAGUGCACUCUAAGACACACUAGACACCCCCUGGGGCCCCCGAAGAGCUCUAGCACCAGCUAGAGGCCUCACAGGGCUCUCCGCUCUUCUCUAGGGUGCUGUAAAUGCCUCUCAUUACACAUGAGAGGCCUUCAGUGGCCUUCCGCUCCACUCUAGAUCCUCUGAAGAUCCACUGGGACCACCAAGUGCACUCUAGCUCUCCCCAAAUACCUUCCAGUGCCUCCCAGUGUGUCCUUUAGGAUGGCCUAGUAUCUUCCCAGGCCUCCUGUGGUGCUCCAGUGAUAUCUAGAACCUUCUGAAGACCUCAGAGGGACUUGAACUGUCCUCUAGCACCACCUGAAUGCCUAGCUGGACUCUCUAUUGCUAUCUACAGUACCCAUUUGCUAUCUACAGGCAUCCCAGUAUCCCCAUUUUGCUCUAGUGACCCCCAGAGGCCUCCUAACACUCCUAGUGAGUUCCAGUGUUACCUGGAUACCUCACAGGGCCUGCAAAUGUGCACUAUCACUUCACCAGUGCUUCCCAGGCAUCCCCACAGGUGGCUCUAGGAUGUCUGUUUGGCCUCUCAGGACCCUCCACAGCAUUCUAGAGAGCACUAGAGGCCUCCCAGUGUGUCCUAGAGGCUUUGAGGGCCUCUCUGUAGUCUGGCACCUCCUGGAAGGCUCCCAGGGCAUACUGGUGCUUUUUAAUGCCCUUCUGAGACCUUGUAGUGCUCACCAAUGUGCUUUAGCCUGACCUCGAAGCCUGCAAGACCCUGCCAUGCCUUCAGAUGGUACCAAUUAGUGUGCUUUAGCAUCCCCUAGAAGCCUCCCAGGGCUCUCUAGAGGCCGCCCAGAGCUCCCCAGUGCACUCUCAGGCACACUAGGGGCCUCAAAGUGCAGCCUAGACACCUCCCAGUGCUUUCCACUGAACUCUGGAGACCUAGAGGCCUCCCAGUGCACCCUACAAGGCCUCUCAGUGCACCCUAGAGGCCUUAGGACCAUCCAGUGCAUUCUAGGGUACCCUAGAAGCCUUCUCUUGCACCCUAGGGGCGUCCUAGGGACACACACUGUAAACUGGUGCCUCCUAGAGGCUUUGCCAGGCUCUCUAGUGUGCUCUAGAGCACGCUGAAGGUCUCCCUGGGCCAUGCAGAGGCCUUGUAAGUCUCUCCAGUGUCCUCUAGGGUGCACUAAAGGCCUUUCAGUGCUCACUACACAGCUUCCAUGAAUUCACUCCGCUCUAGAGCCUAUGCACGUCUACCAGGGCUGCCCAGUGCACUCUACCUUCCCCUGAAAGUUUUCCAGCACCUGCUACCACUUCAAAAUGCCUCCCUUCUCCCUCCCUCACCCUCAGUUUGCUUUAGUAUGCUGUAGGAUACUCUAAAAGGCCUAACAGGGACCCCACCGCACUCUAAAGAGCACAAGAAGCCACCCAGUACACCUAGAGACUCCCAGCCCAGUAUAAUCUAGUGCCCCUGGGAGACUUUGCAGAGCUCUCUAUUGAGCUCUAGCACCCCCUAGAAAAAUUCCAGGGCAUUCUAGAGGCCUCACACAGUCCCUAGGCCCCUCUAGGGCCUGCAGGCUUC